rnacentral:lncRNA from 1 species
AGAGAAGUUACUAUUUACUCCUAAUUAGAUGGGGAGGAAAGUCUUUGAAGAGAAACCUCUACUUUACUUUUACAUCUCUAUUUUAAUCUAUUCCUCUACGUUAGUUAUUGAAAAACAAUAGACAAUUGCAAAAAAACAAGUUCACCUAUUUGUGUUCCUGGAGCCCAUUCACAAAGGGCCCUCGUGACUGGGCCUCAUGCCAAACAAGUUGUUACAAAAAGAGCUAGGGCCGCAGACUGCCCUAGCUUCAGGAGACCUCUCCUCAUCUGUGCACGGUUGAGUGUCCGACUCUGGAGCCCAGGCUAUCACUUCCCGGUGUGGUGGUGAAUCCUCCAUAGUCUGAUGAGUGUUUUUGUCUGACUCUGGAGCCCAUACUGUUGCUUCCUGGUCUGGUGAGGAAUCCUCCAUAGUCUGUACUUACAAUCUCUCCAACAG